UAGGGAAUCUUCGGCAAUGGACGAAAGUCUGACCGAGCAACGCCGCGUGAGUGAAGAAGGUUUUCGGAUCGUAAAACUCUGUUGUUAGAGAAGAACAAGGACGUUAGUAACUGAACGUCCCCUGACGGUAUCUAACCAGAAAGCCACGGCUAACUACGUGCCAGCAGCCGCGGUAAUACGUAGGUGGCAAGCGUUUUCCGGAUUUAUUGGGCGUAAAGCGAGCGCAGGCGGUUUCUUAAGUCUGAUGUGAAAGCCCCCGGCUCAACCGGGGAGGGUCAUUGGAAACUGGGAGGCUUGAGUGCAGAAGAGGAGAGUGGAAUUCCAUGUGUAGCGGUGAAAUGCGUAGAUAUAUGGAGGAACACCAGUGGCGAAGGCGGCUCUCUGGUCUGUAACUGACGCUGAGGCUCGAAAGCGUGGGGAGCAAACAGG
rnacentral:rRNA from 1 species